GUUAUAAUGAGCUCACACUGCUUGAAGGAAGGGGCCCUACAUCCAAAGUGACUGUGUCCUCUCAGAAGGGGGGAGAGACUGCAGGACCCCGUGGGGGCGGUGCCAGGGGUCUCCAGUGCUCACUGUGCCCAGCGUGUGUCUGUGGGCUGGGAAAGCCAGGGGUGGCAGGCAACGGCCAGGAGCUGGGCUUCGGGCCUGCCACAGAUCCCUUGUUCGUGCCUUCAGAGAAGGCAGGGCACCUCUGACCCUAGCUUUCUCACUUCUGGCCUCUGGAACUGUGCGAGCUCAAGUUUCUCUUAUUCCAGAGUGUGCUCCUUUGUUAUGACAGCUGUGGGAGCUGCAUGCUCUACCAGCCGAGCCCCCUGGCAGUCCCGGGGGGUUCCAGCAGCCUGUGGGCAGCCCCUCCGACUGUCCUGGCGGGAACCCCAGACCCCAUCUAGCUCCCCUUGAACCUGGCCACCCUCACCAGGGGACGCACCCUGAGCCUGACACCCCUGCAAACCUUGCAAGUCUGACCACACCCCACUCCCCUUGUGAGCUCAUACUGUGUUUCUGGGGAUGAGUGCUCGGCAGGCUUGCCUGGGGCAUGUUGGAACCGAGGCCCCGAGCUUCUCCACCCACGCAUCCACUCCCUUUGGCGCAGAAGCACACAACUCCUCUCAGUGAAUGGCGUUUCCUUCUUUACCUCUAGAGUCUAGGCUGGCGGGACCUGCUAUGGACGGCAGGAUGGGAGACACGGGACAGCGCUCCUUCUGACCCACGACAGGCCUGUGGGUCUGCACUCUGCUUGCGCAGUCAGCUUGAGAACGCACGCCUACUGGGGGUGAGACCCACGGAACCAUGGCCAGCCGACCCUUUACAUGGGAGAAGCCACGGCCAGGUCCCCAAGCAAGGCCAUUUAACCCUCAACCACCACUCCAGGGAGCCACCAGCGCUUGGUGCAGGUCACCGAGGUCUGCGAGCUUGCACUCGGCACCUUGUGGGCAUGGUUUACUGAGACAUUUAUCCAGAACACAGCUCCUAGACUUGCCCGUUUGAGUACACACGUUUCUUCUGAACACCUUGUCCCCUUGUUGGCCUGGACCCUGCUGCUGGGCAUUCGAUCCAACCACAUGCCAUUGGUUCCAAAAGCUCUGAAUAUUCACACAAGCAAACAAACGUACCCUUGUUGUUCUAUACAAAUCCAAUCAGGCUCUGCUUGCCGUUUGGCUCCUGGCUUCUUCCUGCUGAACUUGGCCGUCCUGGUGGCUUUUCCUGGGAGCAUGUGGAGCAUGGCCGUCGACCCCUCAGCACCCUGUGCUACCACCUAAUGCCCAGGCACGCUGGCUGACCACUUGUGCACAUCUGGUUUCUCUUUAAUUCUCUGCUACUCCCCAAAAUAAUGGCAGGAACAUCUUCGUGCACAUAUGCAAGUGUCUCUGGAGGUCCCAGUUCUGGGGAUUACCACAGAGGGUGCUGAAAUAAAAUCUGUGCUGUGACACCA
rnacentral:lncRNA from 12 species